rnacentral:rRNA from 1 species
CCUACGGGAGGCAGCAGUGAGGAAUAUUGGACAAUGGACGGAAGUCUGAACCAGCCAUGCCGCGUGCAGGAAGACGGCUCUAUGAGUUGUAAACUGCUUUUGUACAAGGGUAAACCUGAAUACGUGUAUUCAGCUGAAAGUACUGUACGAAUAAGGAUCGGCUAACUCCGUGCCAGCAGCCGCGGUAAUACGGAGGAUCCAAGCGUUAUCCGGAUUUAUUGGGUUUAAAGGGUGCGUAGGCGGAUUGAUAAGUGAGAGGUGAAAGGUCCGAGCUUAACUCGGGAACUGCCUCUAAUACUGUUGAUCUAGAGAGUAGGUGCGGUAGGCGGAAUGUAUGGUGUAGCGGUGAAAUGCUUAGAGAUCAUACAGAACACCGAUUGCGAAGGCAGCUUACCAAUCUAUAUCUGACGUUGAGGCACGAAAGCGUGGGGAGCAAACAGGAUUAGAUACCCGGGUAGUC